rnacentral:rRNA from 1 species
CCUAGUAACGGCGAGUGAAGCGGCAACAGCUCAAAUUUGAAAUCUGGCGCAAGCCCGAGUUGUAAUUUGUAGAGGAUGCUUCUGGGCAGCGGCCGUUCUAAGUUCCUUGGAACAGGACGUCAUAGAGGGUGAGAAUCCCGUAUGUGACCGGCACGUACCCUCCACGUAGCUCCUUCGACGAGUCGAGUUGUUUGGGAAUGCAGCUCUAAAUGGGAGGUAAAUUUCUUCUAAAGCUAAAUACCGGCCAGAGACCGAUAGCGCACAAGUAGAGUGAUCGAAAGAUGAAAAGCACUUUGGAAAGAGAGUUAAAAAGCACGUGAAAUUGUUGAAAGGGAAGCGCUUACAACCAGACUUCGUGGCGGUGUUCCGCCGGUCUUCUGACCGGUCUACUCGCCGCCGCGAGGCCAGCAUCGUCUGGGGCCGCCGGAUAAGACCUUGGGAAUGUAGCUUGCCUCGGUAAGUGUUAUAGCCCAUGGUGAUGCGGCGUGCCUCGGGCGAGGUCCGCGCUUCGGCAAGGAUGCUGGCGUAAUGGUUGUCAGCGGCCCGUCUUGAAACACGGACCAAGGAGUCUAACAUCUAUGCGAGUGUUCGGGUGUCAAACCCCUACGCGUAAUGAAAGUGAACGGAGGUGGGAAGCGCAAGCUGCACCAUCGACCGAUCCUGAUGUCCUCGGAUGGAUUUGAGUAAGAGCAUAGCUGUUGGGACCCGAAAGAUGGUGAACUAUGCCUGAAUAGGGUGAAGCCAGAGGAAACUCUGGUGGAGGCUCGCAGCGGUUCUGACGUGCAAAUCGAUCGUCAAAUUUGGGUAUAGGG